UCAAGGAAGCAUACAAAAAUUUUUUCAAAAAAGGAAAAUCAAAAUAAUCAGAACGAAAUCUAAAAAGAAACCUAACAAACCAGCAAUAAAAGAUGGAUCAAUUCAACCAAUUCGUGGAGUCCGAAUUUGAAGCAACCGAGGAACAUGGAAUUCGUGAAAAUAACAACAUUGACGAUUCUUGUUCUGCAAAUGAGCCCUAUCAAGAAGGGCACGGAAGAGAGUCGUUAAAACGUUUUCCUGACCAUCCCGAGGCAAAAAUAGAAACCAAAAACGAAAAUCAAAGAAAGGCAACGAGGAAUGUCCUAAUGAAGUCUUUGAUUCUGAUUGCGGCACGAAUGGGCAAUAUGGUGGAUUAGGAGGAACUAGUUGCGUAGAGGAAUAUUUGGGAUAGGAGGCAUCUGACGUACAGGAAUAUAAUGCAGUUGGGAGUCAGUUUUGUAACAUAGCUGGGAAUUUUGGCAAUCUGAAAAGGGAUUUCAGAGAUUAGCAGCAGAGUUUGAACAAUUUUCAAUUAGAAGGCUAUAGAACAGCCGAUGCCUUUGUGGACGCCUCUAAUAACAUUGACUUAGAAUUUAGCUCAGGAUUCGAUACGGACGAAGAACCAGGGGUUAUUCGUUUUAGUUCCCACAACCCACUCGUAAUUAAAGAAAUUCGAUCUUCCAAAACAGAAAUGUUUAAUGUUAUGCAUUUUUUCCAAUGCAUUUUGUGUUGACAAGAGCUAUGAAUGAAGUUUCUAUUUUAAAGAUUUUACCUACCUACCUAUGUUUUACCUAUCAGUUGUCAAACUUUUCAAAUCAAGGAAGCAUACACAAUUUUUUUCAAAAAAGGAAAAUCAAAAUAAUCAGAACGAAUUCUGAUUGCGGGACGAAUGGGCAAUAUGGUGGAUUAGGAGGAACUAGUUGCGUAGAGGGUAAGUAUUGCAAAAUGUGUUCAAUUAGAAUAUUUUUGUUAAUAUGUAUCUCGCUCGAACAUUUUGUUAAUUUAAAAUAAAAAUGUCAUUCUAGAAUAUUUGGGAUAGGAGGCAUCUGACGUACAGGAAUAUAAUGCAGUUGGGAGUCAGUUUUAUAACAUAGCUGGAAAAUUUGGCAAUCCGAAAAGGUAUUUCAGAGAUUGGCAGCAAGUUUGAACAAUUUUCAAUUAGAAGGCUAUAGAACAGCCUAUGCCUUUGUGGACGCCUCUAAUAACAUUGACUUAGAAUUUAGCUUAGGAUUCGAUACGGACGAAGAACCAGGGGUUAUUCGUUUUAGUUCCCACAACCCACUCGUAAUUAAAGAAAUUCGAUCUUCCAAAACAGAA